CAGCAGCCGCGGGAAUACGUAGGUCCCGAGCGUUGUCCGGGUUUAUUGGGCGUAAAGCGAGCGCAGGCGGUUAGAUAAGUCUGAAGUUAAAGGCUGUGGCUUAACCAUAGUACGCUUUGGAAACUGUUUAACUUGAGUGCAAGAGGGGGGAGUGGAAUUCCAUGUGUAGCGGUGAAAUGCGUAGAUAUAUGGAGGAACACCGGUGGCGAAAGCGGCUCUCUGGCUUGUAACUGACGCUGAGGCUCGGAAGCGUGGGGAGCAAACAGGAUUAGAUACCCGCGUAGUCCCUGUCUCUUAUACA
rnacentral:rRNA from 1 species